GGAUGGGUGACCUUCCGGGAAGUUUUCUCGGAAAGUGUGUGAGUGAGGACAAAGCACGCUGGAAAGCCUCGUGUUGAUGUGUGGGGGCAGUCAGCAGUCCCUAUAAGUUGUCGGGGCGUUACGGAUGGUAUCAGAGCCUAGCCUCUCCAGUACGGUGUGGUUCGAGGACGAACCAGACGGAAGCUGGUGGGCAUGUGACACCCGGGCACUGACGAGGGCGGGGAGUGAUCGCCGGUGCAAGAGGCAUGGUGCAGGGGGCACAGACAAGGAGCGACUCCUGGCAGGCUUCCAGUGGAAGGGGUACAUGGACGAAUCGAACAUACACCGGAAUGAGAGGGAUAGCCUAACUCAUAAGAACUCCAUGGUUAAGAAGUUGCCGGGGCGUUACAAAAAUAGAUAUGUACUCUGCAUGUAAAACAAUCAAUCAACAAAAUAUAUCACACAGAAUGAGAAAUAAUCAGUAAUCUCCCCCUUUCAUAUUGCAUUAUAAGAUCAUAAAAUUUCUUCCCCUUUGUGCAUUAGCAAAAAAUGUUUGCUUAUGAUACUUUGCGGAAAAAAAAUCAGAGAUACAUAAAAUAGAAUAUGCAAGUUUUCAAAGUACAUCGAUCUCCAAAUCACAUUCAGUCACAUGUAAAAAAAAUUACUCCCCCUGAAGUACAGGCAUGUGAAUGAAAAUAUGUAAAGAGUGAUACUCCCCC
rnacentral:lncRNA from 1 species